UGUUUCGGCAUGCUUAGUACGGCGAGUGAGCGGCAAAAGCUCAAAUUUGAAAUCUGGUACCUUCGGUGCCCGAGUUGUAAUUUGGAGAGGGCAACUUUGGGGCCGUUCCUUGUCUAUGUUCCUUGGAACAGGACGUCAUAGAGGGUGAGAAUCCCGUGUGGCGAGGAGUGCGGCUCUUUGUAAAGUGCCUUCCAAGAGUCGAGUUGUUUGGGAAUGCAGCUCUAAGUGGGUGGUAAAUUCCAUCUCUAGCUAAUUAUUGGCGAGAGACCGAUAGCGAACACAUACAGAGAUGGAAAAAUGAAAAGAACUUUGAAAAGAGAGUGAAAAACGCGCGACAUUGUUGAG
rnacentral:rRNA from 1 species